GGGAAAGUGGCUCAGUGGUAGAGUGCUUGUCUUGCAUGCAUGAGGUCCUGAGUUCGAUUCCUCAGUACCA
rnacentral:tRNA from 1 species